CAGUAGCCGCGGUAAUACGAAGGGGGCUAGCGUUGUUCGGAUUUACUGGGCGUAAAGCGCACGUAGGCGGACUUUUAAGUCAGGGGUGAAAUCCCGGGGCUCAACCCCGGAACUGCCUUUGAUACUGGAAGUCUUGAGUAUGGUAGAGGUGAGUGGAAUUCCGAGUGUAGAGGUGAGAUUCGUAGAUAUUCGGAGGAACACCAGUGGCGAAGGCGGCUCACUGGACCAUUACUGACGCUGAGGUGCGAAAGCGUGGGGAGCAAACAGGAUUAGAUACCCCUGUAGUCCCUGUCUCUUAUAC
rnacentral:rRNA from 1 species